rnacentral:rRNA from 1 species
GACGAACGCUGGCGGCGUGCUUAACACAUGCAAGUCGAACGGAGUGGCGAACGGGUGAGUAACACGUGGGUGACCUGCCCUGCACUUCGGGAUAAGCCUGGGAAACUGGGUCUAAUACCGGAUAGUGUGGGAUGGGCCGUCGGCCUAUCAGAUUGUUGGUGGGGUAAUGGCCUACCAAGGCGGCGACGAGUAGCCGGCCUGAGAGGGUGGACGGCAACAUAGGGACUGAGACACGGCCCAGACGCCUACGGUAGGCAGCGGGGGAGAAUAUUGCGCGAUAGGCGGAAGCCUGAUGCAGCGACGCCGCGUGGGGGAUGACGGCCUUCUGGUUGGAAACUCCUGUCACCAUCGACGCGGUAGAUGGAGAGAAAGCACCGGCUAACUACGUGCCAGCAGCCGCGGUAAUUC